rnacentral:RNase_P_RNA from 1 species
GAUCGCGGACGGAGGGUCGCCUUCAUCCGCCUAAGGCGGACGGGGGAGGAACUUCCGAACUCCACAGGGCAAGGCGCCGGUUCAAAUCCGCCUCAGGCGGACAUAGGCCGGGGGUUUGGGGCUAUAUACCCAAAUCACGGAAAGUGCCACAGAAAACACACAGCCCAAGCCCGCGAGGGCCGGCAAUGGUGAAAAGGUGCGGUAAGAGCGCACCGUCCGCCAGGGAAACCGGCGGAGCAGGGUAAACCCCGCCCGGAGCAAGGCCGAAUAUGCGCAUGGAUAGCCCGUCCGCGCCCGCAAGGGUAAAGCGCAGAGUGGGCCGCACAAGAUAAAUGAUCCUCUCUAUGCCGCGAGGCAUAAAGACAGAAUUCGGGGUACAGUCCGCGAUCAAAG